GUUGGGCGCAUAUUAUGUGGAGACAGCCAACCAGCAACCUCUCGGACGUAAAUGGAACACGAUGCCCAGCAGAAGCACGCACGCAGCCCCUUUGUUUCCUGGCAGCUCGAUCGACAGGAUUUGACGGCAGCAUCACGCAGGUCGUAGCUUCGUGCGAUAUUUCUACCCAUCACCUGCUCGAGUCUCCGCCAACCGCCGCCGGCAGAAAUUUUCUCCUGCCUCCAAGCAAAGAUCGGAAGGGGACUGAUCGAGGUUUAGCAGGACUGCAUAGGUUCAGUUAUGUUUGUGUAGAUGUGAAGAUGAAGAGAACAAUGAAAAACAGUUGCUUAUGGCAUUUGCGUCCAACCCUUCAAGCCUUCAAUCCCCAAUCUAUCAUAUCACCGUCAUCCAACAUAAAGAGGAUUAGGGAAAGCACCACCAAGAGCGACCAAUGAUCUGACGACAUACCACAUCCCAUAUGCCUAUAUGCUUCUUCGGCAGUCCCGGAGCUUUUGUGGUGAAUUUUCUCCAAACCCUUCCAGACAAAG